AUUGAACGCUGGCGGCAGGCCUAACACAAGCAAGUCGAACGAGUGGCGGACGGGUGAGUAAUGUCUGGGAAUCUGCCCGAUAGCGGGGGAUAACUACUGGAAACGGUAGCUAAUACCGCAUACCAUCGGAUGUGCCCAUAUGGGAUUAGCUAGUGGGUGGGGUAACGGCUCACCUAGGCGACGAGACCUAGCUGGUCUGAGAGGAUGAACAGCCACACUGAGACUGAGACACGGCCCAGACUCCUACGGGAGGCAGCAGUGGGGAAUAUUGCACAAUGGGCGCAAGCCUGAUGCAGCCAUGCCGCGUGUAUGAAGAAGGCAGUCGGGUUGUAAAGUACUUUCAGCGAGGAGGCGUUACUCGCAGAAGAAGCACCGGCUAACUCCGUGCCAGCAGCCGCGGUAAUUC
rnacentral:rRNA from 1 species